AGCGAAAGCGAGAAAGCGUUGCCGCAGGCAACGACCCGAAGGGCGAAGCGCGCAGCGCUGAGUAAUCCUUCCCCCGUCAUCC
rnacentral:sRNA from 1 species